AACGAACGCUGGCGGCGUGCCUAACACAUGCAAGUCGAACGGAAUUGAGGUGCUUGCACUUCAAUUUAGUGGCGCACGGGUGAGUAACGCGUAGAUAAUCUGCCUGGUGAAUUGGGAUAACACUUCGAAAGGGGUGCUAAUACCGAAUAAGCCCACGAGCUCCUUGGCGCUUGCGGGAAAAGGGGGGGAUCGCAAGACCUUCCGUCAUCAGAUGAGUCUGCGUACCAUUAGCUAGUUGGUAGGGUAAAGGCCUACCAAGGCGACGAUGGUUAGCUGGUCUGAGAGGAUGAUCAGCCACACUGGAACUGAGAAACGGUCCAGACUCCUACGGGAGGCAGCAGUGGGGAAUUUUGCGCAAUGGGGGAAACCCUGACGCAGCAACGCCGCGUGAGUGAUGAAGGACCUUGGGUCGUAAAGCUCUGACAGAGGGAAAGAAAUGUGGGUGGCUAAUAUCCAUUCCACUUGACGGUACCCUCAAAGGAAGCACCGGCUAACUCCGUGCCAGCCGCCGCGGUAACAC
rnacentral:rRNA from 1 species